GGAAGUAUUAGACUCUGAAGCACAGUUAUGAGCAGACUCGUUGGAGGUCAAUUACUCACAGUCUUUUGUGAUGCCUGGCUGACAGUGGAGUUGCCUGAGUGCUCAGAUUGGUGAGUGUAUACCUGCUACAUAUAAAUGCAGCAUUGUACUUGCAUACUUUUGUACCUGCCCAUUUCUGGGACUUCUCAACAGGGGAGCAUCAUGGCUGCAUCUGAUAUAUAUUCUUGUUAAACCAUACUUUUUUUUCCAACUGAAGCAAUAUGUCACAGUUGCUAAAAUGACUAUCUGAAGAGCUAAGUGUAUAAGAGGGUGUGUGCAUAAGGACUGCGAACCUCUUGUCCAUCUUUCAGACAGUGGAAACUAGCUCUUCAGUGUGACAGCUGAAACCCAGCAAGAUCUGGAAGAAGAUGGAGCUCACCGAGGCAAGAUGGGACCAGCAGGCUGUGUGAGGGCUCAGAUCGGCUCGAGAACCUGCUCACCACACCAUACGUAGAGUGUGGUGUCCACACUUUAAGUAUCCAGCUCGGAACUCCACUGCAGCAACAAAACCAGCUCCCAACUGCAGCCAAAAUACACCUUUAGCCUCAAAAUUCAGACUUCCAGCAGCCUGAAUGACACCUAGAAAGGACCAACAGAUACAUCACCCAGAGGAAAGGACUCCGACAGUGUCUACAGGCCAGUGGGUUGUGGAGCUGCACAAAGACCCAGACAGAGCUGCCACGCUGCAGAUAAGAAUCACUUUCACAGAGCCUCUCCAGCGAGCCGAUGGAUGGUGGGGAGAGAGCCCGAGCCAUCCGGUGCGCACAAGUUCCUCUUUGUAGUCACGCUAAGAAACGCUACGCCUCAGAUAAACCCUCCCACAGCAGACACUGCUUCCUAAACCCAGAGCAGUGCUUUCAGAGGGUGUCACCGAGCCCCCCGGUGCAGCUGGUCGUGGGCAUUCUCAAAGCCUUAAUGUUUGCUUCUACAAUAGACUUCUUUAGCUGAAGAGGGGAGUAAUGCUCCCCUCUUUGGUUAAAUGUCAUAUGCUGUGAAGCAAAUGGGGGAUCCCACACUUGUUCCUUUCACUCUGCAGCUCUACGUCACAGCCAGCCCUUUUCCCUCAUCCCACGGGAGAAGAAGAAGAUGCUGGAGCAACAGAACAGGCGCCUGCAAUUUCUGUGUUUCCAAGAGCUCAGGAAGGCUCUUGACAGCCUUUCCAUACUGACAGAAGUACUGCUGCCCACUCUGCCAAAGGCAGUGAGAUACACCAGAACAGCAGGCUGGAAAUGGAGGAUUUGCUCCAGCAGCAAACAGGCAGAAGCUGAAAGGAAACUCCUGGGAAGGAGUAAGGAACUCUGUGAUGAAGGGAAGUGAGGUUCAGGAAGAGAGCUGCUGAUAGAUGUCCAGUGAAAUCAACCUCAUCCAUUCUACUGUCAGUAAACUUCAUUUGUUUAUUAUGGCCUCAUCCUCAUCAUGUCAACCACUGUGCUUUAUUAACAGAGUGAAUUGUCUUGCAGUUCUCAAUAAAUUACUGUCUGACAUUA